rnacentral:lncRNA from 1 species
CCGCCCAGGCCUCCCGCUGCAACCACGCUCACUACCUCAAUCCAAGGAGAGCCGCGUCCUCCUCCCGGGCUCUGCCCAGCACUACACACUCACCCGUCCAUGUGAGCAGCCCUGGAGAGGAGGCCUGCGUGCACCGCAUCCACAAACCCAGACCCAAAGCCCCUGACUGGGACCCGGACCUAGACCCAAAGCCGCAGCUGUCUGUGCACUUGGCCUGUUGGUUGGUGGGCCAUCUGCGGGCCACCACCGGAGCCACCAGGGAGCCCUGAGCAUCUCCUCCUCUCGGCCGAUGAGUGGUCCGCUGGAUGUGUGUGCAGUCUGUGGGGGCGUGGGGGUGUGGGAGGGGGCGGCGAUGGUGCUGGUGUUAGCCUGGACCAGGGAGCCUUUCCGGGUUGGCACCGGGGUGGGGUGAGGGUGAGGGUGAGGGUGGGGGUGGGGGGCAAGUCCUCUCCCUCUCCGAGAGGGGAGAAGGUGUCUGGGGGCAGAAGGCAAAGGGCCGGUGGCCAGGCGCACACAUUCCCAGAGGCGAAGGGAGGCCUGGAAGCUCUCUCCUUGGGGAACCUAGCCCGGUCGGUCGCCGAUCCCUCCCAGGCAUGGCCGCCACGGGCCAGCCUCCUGGUGUGGUACCCGCCAGCCUGCCUGGCCAUCAGCCCUGUCUCCGUGGCCGGCCGGCCGGCCUCUGGAGUUUCCGCGGAACCGGGGUCCCCGGGUCGCCUCCACGGGGACUGCCCUGCAGCCUCCGGAGGGCCCAGGGCACCCCCGCGGGCCACCAGCUCCUGUCCUGCCUUUACCCACGAUUCCUUGCGAGCCGCUCCUCCCCUGCCAGGGCCAAGCAAGUGGCGGCGGCAGUCGCGAACCAGUUCCUCUUGAUGGCGGUAUUGCACCAGGAAUGCCAAGGUGCCCUGGCCCCAGGCGCGCUCCCUCCGCCCUUCGCGGAGGAAAAAACUCGAAAUGCCAAGCCAACCGCAGUGCUGUCCACUGGGCCUCCAACGUGGCGGCCCGGCUCACCCCGCUGGUCAGCUCUGGGGCUGAGCUCUCAGCUCCGGGGCCCUCCUCUCACAUCCACAACCUGGCGGGGAGCCCUUCCCAUGUCCCCCACAC